UACGAAGGGGGCUAGCGUUGCUCGGAAUCACUGGGCGUAAAGCGCACGUAGGCGGAUUGUUAAGUCAGGGGUGAAAUCCUGGAGCUCAACUCCAGAACUGCCUUUGAUACUGGCGAUCUUGAGUCCGGGAGAGGUGAGUGGAACUGCGAGUGUAGAGGUGAAAUGCGUAGAUAUUCGCAAGAACACCAGUGGCGAAGGCGGCUCACUGGCCCGGUACUGACGCUGAGGUGCGAAAGCGUGGGGAGCAAACAGG
rnacentral:rRNA from 1 species